rnacentral:tRNA from 1 species
ACCUAAAUGGUCUAAUAUAUAAUGAUGCGAGCUUGUGGUGCUCGAGGUGCGCUGAUUGUAAAGUGUCGAAAACGUCUGUGGCGCUUUAGGUG